rnacentral:rRNA from 1 species
GAAGCUGGAAUCGCUAGUAAUCGCAGGUCAGCAUACUGCGGUGAAUACGUUCCCGGGUCUUGUACACACCGCCCGUCACACCAUGGGAGCCGGAAAUGCCCGAAGCCAGUGACCCAACCUUAGGGAGGGAGCUGUCGAAGGUGGAGCCGGUAACUGGGGUGAAGUCGUAACAAGGUAGC